rnacentral:lncRNA from 1 species
AAUGUCAAAAGCGGUAAAAAUUCGGAAUUUUAAUUUGGAAUUUAGCCAACACGCAUUAUUUAUACAAAAACUGAUUUUCGCAUAGUUCCUUUAUCUCCUGAAAAGCUUUUGCGAAAUAGGCGAUGAUACUCUUGUGAAAUCUUGUGUGUUUAAAAAUUCGAAGUGGUGAAGAAAUGUGCAGUGGGUUAUGGUCGACAAAAAUUAUAAAAAAGCUUCUCAUUCGCCAAACCUGUGACUGUGGUGGACGUGGGAUGUACUUCAACGGUUGUCUUAACCUUGAAAACCUUGGGUACUAGUAUUUUAAAGGAGCUUACCCCACACAGAAGUGCUAAUCAAACUUAAAGUAAUGCAAUUUCAUGUUAAUCUAGGCGCAAAGCUAACGACGUCCUGCUCCAUUUCUGGGAAAGAAAAAUACUUGUGCUUAUUUAGGCAAAAAGAGUCCUCGUAAAAAAAUUCAAGUAAGGAGGAAAAGGUAGUACAUUGUGGAGCGAUACCACAGCUGAAUUUUUAGCAAUUUUCAAAGAAUGGAUUUGAAACUAUCAUUAAAUGUAAAUUUUGAAUUACGUAAGAAUCUUCAACGGAAAAGUACUAAUUGGGAUCACUAUCAAACACCACAAGCGACCAAGUAUCUAAUAAUUAAAUACAAACAGACACAUAACCAAUAUACAAUAUGUACAUAUUUUACUUACUUUUCUACUCCUCGGAACGCUUCCGGCUCGAUUGUGACAAUUUUAUUUUCGUAUAAUAAUCAACAAGCGGAAGAGAUGUUUCAAUGCAGCAGAUGGUACCGUUUUCAUUUGAUUCUGUGAAACAUCCAACUGUAUUACUAUAUUGAAAUCAAAGCGUACCUAAAGAACUGAGUGCAUUCUCCUCAAUGGCUGCCAAACUGCUAUUAUGUAUAGUCAAAUGACGGAUGUCCAGUGCCAAGAAAACGAAGCCUUGCAAUUUGGGUGCAAUGUCGUUUUGCUCCGGACAUAUUUGCUGAGGCUGUGGAUUUGGUGCGCCCAAUUUCUGAUUCGCAUAUACCAGCGUGAAUAGUAC